AUAUAUAUUAAUUAUAACCAAUGACAUAACGUCAUACUCUAUACGAGGUCAUUUAUUUUCCACAACCGCUUUAUUCUCGAAAAAAUUUAUCAAUUCGAGAAACUUAAAAGUUCCCGCCUUUUCAUUCAUCUUCACUCGUCAUCCGCGUGACAAUUUAUCGUCUUGUGGAAAAAAAAAAAUUAGAGAAAUAUAUGACAAAAAGGUAUUACACCCUUUGGUCCAAGUGGUUGAAAGACGACGCUACUUCCAUUAAUUAAUUUUAUAUCGCAAAUCAUAUCUGCUUAUACCAUACAGUAUAUCAUCUAUUUACUAUCAUUCACGUUAUAAUUUCUUAUCUAUAUACUAUACGAUAUAUACUUAUACUUGUACCUAUAGCUAUCCAUGUACCUACAUUAAUGUAGCUCUAUACCUAUCUCUGUACUAUACAUACUAUAUAUACAAUCUCUAUAUACAUCUAUACUUAUAUACUAUACAUAUAUUCCUCCUAUACCUUUUUUUACUGCGCAUUAUACUGUGGUCCAACACUGUGCGAAUAUUCCAUUGCGAUGUUGUGUAUACCUAUAUCUAUCUAUUAUCUGAUAUCUAUAUAUUAUCUGAUUACGAAAUAUUUCAUAUCUCCGUGGAAACAAACUUUUUCCUUGGAAUAUAUUAAAGAAGCUCCUUCUCCCCUUAUGCCUAAUGAAAAUACUGUACUAUUCUUAUUUUUUUCUACGUUUUUUCCUACAGUCUCAUACUCAAUUCUCGAUCUUGAGCAUCGCGUCUCGAUCUUUCGUAAUCUUUCGUCGUUCCGUGCAUGUUUGUUGCCUGCAAAAUUAAUUGACGUACAAAGACACGCACACAUCAUGCACACCUUACACGUAUGUAUGAAAUUGACUCCUGAGUAAGAAAACAAUGGAAUCGGCGUAAAAAUGAAAAAUAUUACGAAUCGAAAGGAAUUGCCGUUUUUUUUUUUUCGAUUUUAAGUGAACAAAUUAUUAUUCGUCAAUUUCGCGACAAGACGCUCGGCCGUAAAAAACUGUUGUGACUGAUGAAGCGGAAGUCUUUGUAUGAGGUAUGAAGAAUUUUAUAGUUCGCGCAAUGUGCUCGUGAAAUUCCACGCGUGCAAUUUCACUCUUGUCGGAGUUGUUGCGUGGUGAGAUAUUAUGGGGAAUUAUCAGAGCGCGACGUACCCCGAAACGACGUCGGGCGUCGUUAUAUAAGUGUCACAUAGAUUUAUGAGAUUUUACGUAAAAUGCAUAAUUUUUAUGAUCGUCGAUCAGACUGUAUCUACUCGUCGCUCCUAAUCUUCGAUUACGAGCCUGCUGUGUUCUGAAUUUUGACAAAUUUUGGUUAUUGUCACUUCCGGAGGAGCAAAAGAAAUAUGCGGUAAAAAAUAAUAUAUAUGAAAAGAAAAGAUAUAAAUGUCUUUCGACACGAAAUAAUCAGACCUUUUCUUAGUGGCAAUUGCUGCUGACACUUUAUGAUGACGCAACUGAAAAGGCGCAGUGAACCUUGCAUAUAGCUGUUACGUCAAAUCGAUCGAUUGUCAAUCGUUUAUAUUUUCGAUCGGCUGAUUGUUCGUUUCUUUUGAAAAGGGGAGAGGAAAAAAUAUGUGUAGAAAACAAAGAAGUUUUUAAAAAUCGUCGUUGCCUCAUAUGGAAUAAAUUUUUUAAUUAUUUUAUUCGUCGCCAUUCUCGUGCAUUUUAUAUCGAGUUCUCUGGUAAUUUUUUUCUUCUCUCUAGUAUACCUGAUCGGUACAAGUAUGGGUGCCGCUUGAGAUCGAAGGUAGGAAUGCGAUCGGUAGAGUUGCGAAAACACUUUCACGUCAAGUCAAUGUCAAUUCUAUUAACAAAAAAUGAUUUAACGCUGCUUGGCGUGUUCCGAAAACAAUACGGUCGAGCGUCGUUCGGUAAACCGAGUUAAAAAUUGCCAUCUAGGGUUUUAACGAUUUCUUAAUGUUUUUAAUUUUUUUUUUUUUUCUUAAUAUAAAAAUUUACUGUUAAUGCUGAUUAAGGACGAGUGAUUUAUAGAUCCUUUUUCAGUUUUUUCUUGUAUUUAGACGAUUUAUAAUUUGUUACAUACUGUAUAUAUUCAUAGUAUGAGUGGCCUUCUCAAGAAUGCCACCUUGGUCAAAAUACCGAUCUAUUAAGUAAUUCCGAAUUACUUGCAAACUCGUUACGGAAUCGUGUGGUAAUUCCGAUCGAUCGUAUCGGUAUUACGGCCACGUUUAAUUUUUGUUUUUCUUCGUUUUUUCAAUUUUGUUGCAUUCUUCUAACCGCUCUAUAUGAAAUCAGUAAAGUCCUCGGUAAAGCUAUGAUCAAUAAUUAACGGACGAACAUUGAGUGUGACGCAAUUCCGCAUUCUCGACGGUCUCGGUAAACGUACCUUUUUUUUAAUUUAAAAAUGCAAAAAAGUCCUGGGCGUAAUGCGAAACAGGUAAAAAGAGUAGAACGUAAAGGAAAGUGAAGGGACAAAAAUGAAACGCAUGCGUCACGAAUGAUCAUGAUUCUUGUACUGUGAUUUUAAAAAAAAAACCUUUCUACAGCAAGGACAGUAUUUAUAGGGAAUCAAAUAAGUAGAAAAUGAUCUACAAUGAUCCGACAUGAUUGGAGUAACAUUACUAGAGCCGUAUUGAAUUUGAACGUCGUGAAGAUCAGAAUUAGUUUUUGAUUUCUGCGAUUGUUAACCCUUUGACAGACCCCCGAGAUAACGUAGCAGUUCGAGAAAAAUGAUAAUGAAAAAAAUUAAGAAAUUUUAAAAAAGGAAAAAAAAUCUCAAUAUUAAUUGAACUACUACAACUUACUACUAAAAAUACUUUUUCGUCUUCUUGCGUAUUAAAUCAGUACAGUGUUGCACAGGUGGGUCAUGUCAACCUAUCACGAUCCGUAUUCGGCGUCGUGUUCGCGUGACUAGAAAAUAAUAGAAUUUUGAAUAUAAGCAAGCAGGGAUUUUUUUCAACUUUCUUUAAUCCCUUAUCGUUCGAAAUAUUUAGUUGGAUUUCCUGUGUGACUAAUCGUAUGUGAACAUUUUUUAAGAUCACGUCAGGACUAUCUUUGAUAUUGAAAUCGGGUCAGAGUUCAAACUCAAGCUUGAUGGGAUAAAGGUUAAAAAAGUUUCAUGUGUGAUUUUUGAAUUUGUUUUUGGAUUUUUAAUUAAUUGGGUAACGUCCUUUGUCACUAUCAGGAAUCAGAAUGCUAUUGACGAAGUUGUUCUUGCUGUCGUUGCGUGUCGGAUCCGUGACGUAAAAAAAGAUAAAUAUAGAAAUAAAAAUAGAAAGAAUUGGGGCGAGAAUGAAUGACGUGUAUGAAUUCAAUAGAAAAUUAAUAAACCGAUGCGUUCCCGCGUCGAUAGACUAAUUAUGAAGAAGGAGGCUAAAAGAAAUGAAGAUAUAAAAAUAAAAUGGUGAAGAAGCGUGUUUUAGCCAGACGGUUAAGAUAGGCACAUAGAGUCAAUUGCGAAUCGAUAUGUAAUAAAACAGAAAUAUAUCGUAAUAAAGAUAUUGAUUAUUACUUGUAAUAAUAUUAUUAGGGUCAACAUAAAUGAUGAAUAUGAAGAGGUGUCGCGAGAGAAAAAUUUUGCGAAUUAGGUUAAAUUCGCCUAAAAUUAUACACGUAUAAAUUGCCGACCGCGAGCUGUGUCCAUUCAUUAUUUUCGUGAAUUCCAUAUGAAAUUCUCAAGGUACAUACAUAUGUAUAUUUAUAGGUGGCAAAGGGGUUAAUAAUUGAUAUGGGGAGAAAAGAAAUUCUUAGCUGACAAAAAAUUUCAAUAACGAAUCGCGUGCCGGACUUUGGCGUCGGCGUCGGCGUCGUCACGAUUCCUUUGACAAAAUUACAUUGAACUUUGACCCAGACGAAUAAAAUAACGUAUCACAGGGUUAAGAAUAGACGUAGCUCUCUGGGCUGUCCUUUUUCUGAUAAUAAAAAAAAAGUACCGAUGAAAGAUGCCGGGCGUCGCGACGCCGACGUGCGUCAUUUAUUACCGGUAUUGUGUAUACCGGCCAAAGUGAAAAAAAAAAAAUAGAAAAAAGUGACGAGUAUUCGGAAACUCGUGGCUAGCCAAAAAAGGCGAUGGGAAUUUUCAAAAUAAAA